rnacentral:rRNA from 1 species
AUGAACGCUGGCGGCGUGCCUUAAGCAUGCAAGUCACGGGGGGUCCCGCAAGGGAUAACCGGCGGACGGGUGAGUAACGCGUGAGAAUCUACCUUGAAGUGGGGCAUAGCCCUCCGAAAGGAGGGGUAAUUCCCCAUGUGUAAGCAAUUACAAAGCCGCAAGGCGCUUUAAAGAUGAGAGCUCCGCGUCCCUAUCAGCUAGUUGGUGGGGUAAUGGCCUACCAAGGCGACGACGGGUAAGCUGGACUGAGAGGUUGGUCAGCCACAAUGGCACUGAGACACGGGCCAUACAUCUACGGAUGGCAGCAACUGGGAAUCUUCGACAAUGGGCGAAAGCCUGAUCGAGCGACGCGCCGCGUGGGGGAUUGAAGGCCUUCGGGGUUGUAAACCCCUUUUACGAGGGAAGAUUAUGACGGUAACCCUCGCGAAAAUAAGCACCUGCUAACUACGUGCCAGAAGCCCCGGUAAGUCGUAGGGUGCAAGCGUUAUCCGGAUUCAUUGGGGCGUAAAGAGUUGCGUAGGGCGGACUGGAACAUCUCACUUUAAAGCUUGAGGCUCAACCUUAAGUUUUGGGUGAGAUAUGGCUAGUCUUGAGUGUUGGAGAGGGUACUGGUAAACCAAUCAUGGAGCAGUGAAAAUGCGUUGAUAUGAUUGGGAACACCAAAGGCGUAGGCAGGUACCUAUUCAAACAACUGACGCUGAGGCCACGAAAAGCUUGGGGAGCGAAGCAGAUUAGAGACCUGCGUAGUCCAAGCCGUAAAACGAUGGAUGCUAGUUUACUCGAUGUAUUUUGAGUGACGUAAGGGUAACCCGUUAAGCAUCCCGCCUGGGGAGUACGAACACAAGUUUAAAAAACUCAAAAGGAAUUGACGGGGGAGGCGCACAAGCAGUGGAGCGUGUGGUUUUAAUUUCGAUACGAAGCGAAAAAACCUCACCAGGGUUUGACAUUCUUAUGCAAUCUCGGGGAAAACUCGAGACCUCUCGCAAGAGACAUCUGAACAGAUGCUGCAUGGCUGUCGUCAGCUCGUGGCGUGAGCUGUACCGUUUAAGUCGGGAAACGAGCGCAACCCGCACCAUAUGUUAAAUUAUUCAUAUGGAAACAGCCCCUAUUUUUAGGGGGAGGAAAGGCGCGGGAUGACGUCAAGUCAGCACGGCUCUUACACCCUGGGCCUUACACACACCCUACAAUGGCGAAAAGCAAACGAGUCGCAAGCUGGUAACAGCAAGCUAAUCUCUGAAAUUUCGCCCCAGUUUCAGAUUGAGGGGCUGCAAUUCGCCCUCAUGAAGUCGGAAUUGCUAGUAAUCGCGAAUCAGCAGGUCGCGGGUGAAUACGUUCUCGCCUCUUGUACACACACCGCCCGUCAGGGCAGCAAAGUUGGGGGCACCCGAACAUCCCUACCGGGGUGGAAGGUGAAACCAGCGAUGAAGCUU